CAUGGCUCAGAACGAACGCUGGCGGCAUGGAUUAGGCAUGCAAGUCGAACGCCGAUAGCAAUAUCGGAGUGGCGCAAGGGUGAGGAACACGUGAGUAAUCUGCCCUCGAGUUGGGAAUAGCUCCGGGAAACUGGAAUUAAUACCGAAUAACAUUGCGGGACCGCAUGGUUCUGCACUUAGAGCAGCAAUGCGCUCGAGGAGGAGCUCGCGUCCCAUUAGCUAGUUGGUGAGGUAACGGCCCACCAAGGCCAUGAGUGGGUAGCUGGUCUGAGAGGACGAUCAGCCACAGGUGGGACUGAAGAACUCGCCCACACCUCCGUACGGGAGGCUGCAGUCGAAGUAAGUUUUGGGCAAGUGGGACGAAACGCCUGACCCAAGCAAUGCCGCGUGCGGGAUGAAGGUCUUCGGAUUGUAAACCGCUGUCAAGAGGGACGAAAUUUGACGGUACCUCUGAAGGAAGCCACGGCUAACUACGUGCCAGCAGCCGC
rnacentral:rRNA from 1 species